AAAUGAAUAAAGAUGCCAGACAGUAUGAGGAGCUCAGGGAGCAGAACAGAAACUCAUGGAACAAGAGCUGGUGGAGAUCACUGAGCAUCAUAAUGAGCUCAAUGUGCAGAGAAUCAAACUUUGACUUUCAUCAAGUGUAAAUGGAGGCAGACAUAACCCGCCUGUCCAGUGAGAACGAGGAAGACGGUGCAUGAGCUAGAUGAUGCUGAGGAAAGGGCUGGAAUAGCAGAGAUGACGCUGAUCAAACUCCAUACGAGGAACCGUUGCUUCAGCAACUAAAGACUUCAGUAAUGAAAUAGUGCAAGUCACCAAAACGUCUUCUAAGAAUGAAUAAGAAUAGGAGUCACUGCCUAGUAACAACCCAGCACAGACAUUCUUCACCUGAGGAGCUUCUAGAUGGGGAAGAUUUAGAGGGAGCACAUCCAGUCUUAAGAAAAUGUAAAAUAGUCUUAUCUACAAAUAUCUUGUUUGUUUUUCAUGUAUUAUGUGUUAGAAAAUGUCUGUAUUUAAUGUCUAACAUCUUUUUUAUUCUGUAAAAGGGCUUUUUUUAGAAAAGGAAUGUCACAAGUUCAAGAAGCCUACUUGCAGUGUGAAUAACAUUUGAGCAAAUUAUACUCUGUGUGUGA